rfam:Camelus ferus unplaced genomic scaffold scaffold902, whole genome shotgun sequence.
GAGGGUAUAGCUCAGAGGUAGAGCGCAUGCUUAGCAUACACAAGGUCCCGGGUUCAAUCCCCAGUACCUCCA